GACGAACGCUGGCGGCGUGCCUAAUACAUGCAAGUCGAGCGGACAGAUAAGGAGCUUGCUCCUUUGACGUUAGCGGCGGACGGGUGAGUAACACGUGGGCAACCUGCCCCUUAGACUGGGAUAACUCCGGGAAACCGGAGCUAAUACCGGAUAAUCCCUUUCUCCACCUGGAGAGAGGGUGAAAGAUGGCUUCGGCUAUCACUAAGGGGAUGGGCCCGCGGCGCAUUAGCUAGUUGGUAAGGUAACGGCUUACCAAGGCAACGAUGCGUAGCCGACCUGAGAGGGUGAUCGGCCACACUGGGACUGAGACACGGCCCAGACUCCUACGGGAGGCUG
rnacentral:rRNA from 1 species